AGGACGAACGCUGGCGGCGUGCUUAACACAUGCAAGUCGAGCGGAAAGGCCCUUCGGGGUACUCGAGCGGCGAACGGGUGAGUAACACGUGAGUAAUCUGCCUUCAGCUCUGGGAUAGCUCCGGGAAACCGGGAUUAAUACCGGAUAUGACCACUUCGGACAUCUGUUGUGGUGGAAAGUUUUUCGGCUGGAGAUGAGCUCGCGGCCUAUCAGCUUGUUGGUGGGGUAACGGCCUACCAAGGCGACGACGGGUAGCCGGCCUGAGAGGGCGACCGGCCACACUGGGACUGAGACACGGCCCAGACUCCUACGGGAGGCAGCAGUGGGGAAUAUUGCGCAAUGGGCGGAAGCCUGACGCAGCGACGCCGCGUGGGGGAUGAAGGCCUUCGGGUUGUAAACCCCUUUCAGCAGGGACGAAGCGGAAGUGACGGUACCUGCAGAAGAAGCGCCGGCUAACUACGUGCCAGCAGCCGC
rnacentral:rRNA from 1 species